rnacentral:misc_RNA from 1 species
AAAACAUCAAAACAUUAAUGCCAACAAUACAAAUAGUACCAUCUUCCUAGAAUUGAAAAAGAAAACACAUCAUAGCAACCUUCGUUCGGAAUAGAAGUAUAUUAAAGCAAGCCAACCACAGGCAUAAUGACUACAAGCUUUGGAACACAAACUUGGAGGUGAUGAUCAAGGAAAGGCCUCAAUAACAGAAUGCACUUCUCCGAUGGGUCUUAUAGUGUGGCGGCUAAAACCAGCCUUCCCAAGUAUAUAUUCCCAUUCCUUAGAGGUCCUCUCUUUACCCGAGUCAGUAUGAGCCAUCAUCACCAUGUCCAGCAUAAGCCUAACGAACUCAAGCUUGUCGUCUUUCGCUUCACCCACCACAACUUCAACCAUUAUCACCUUCCCAUUAUCCUUUGGAAUUGCUUCUUUACAUUUCUUUAGGAUCUGUAUGCAUUCAUCAUCGUUCCAAUCGUGCAGAACCCACAUGAGAAAAGCGGCAUCAGCUUUUGGAACACUUUCGAACAUGUCACCGCCAA